AGAAAGAAAGAAAGAAAGAAAAGAUGUGCAUGAUAAUGUAUGAUCAUGCAUACAAUUUAUUGUGCAGACAAAACUAAGCAUCUAAUCUAAGCAAAAUGUUAAUCUCGUAGUCUUAUUAAUCUCUUCAUUCUGAGAAAUUAAUCAAAUUCUAUGUUUAAUGGAAUUAUGUAAGUGGGAUCAGAGAAAGAAAUAGGCCAGGUAAUGGUUACUCAUAGUUGUGUAAAUUGAAGUUGGACAUUAAUUGAAUUCUUAGAUAGUGGGAUUAGAGAAACAGAUGGGCAUAAUUUUUCAAGUUUUUUUACUUAACUUGUGUCAUCCUAGGUUGGUGUACUAAGUAGGUUUAAUGACUGAAGUUUAAUCAGAUAAAGCAUGCUAAGUUUUUUCUGAAUUUAUUAAUAAACUAUCUUUACUUACAGAAGAAAAAUGGGGAUAAUUGGUUCUGUAUCGUUAUGUACCCUUAGUGGAUUGAUCCUUCCAGCAAAAGAAAUUAUUAAAAAAACACGAAAAAAAAAAAGAAAGAAAAGCGUGUGCAUUAUUAUUAUUAUAUCUGGUGCAUGCAGGGUGAGCUCACAACUCCACUCUCUAGUCUCUAUGAGUCUAUGGAAAAGAAUAAGACAGUGUCAUGGUCUUGAUAAGAUAAAUAUCUACCCUUUUGCUUUAUUUACUAUUCAUCUUCGAUCAAUUCCAUUUGCUUUUGAUUUUAAUAAAGAGCAAAGCCAAAGGGAAAGUGCCCUAGAGCAAGUGGGAAUUGCCAUUUGCGUGUUUCUUCAUAUAUACCAAUAACCCGAUUCUCUAACUGGCCUGCUAAAGCUGAAACAAACAUUCACAAAAUGGUUAGCAACAGCUUGUUCCUAGAUUGGAAGUACUUCUGUAUUCAAAAAAGCAAAAUCAAAAGAGAAAGUAAAAGAACCCAUCAUUUGAUCAGCUUUAGUUUCAGUACACCACUCAUUCCACCAGAUUAAAAUGGAGUUUUAAACCUUCUUUGUUGUUACUGUACCUAUUUAUGGCCAAAACAAGAAACAACUUGCUCACACUUGGAUCUGGGAUACUUAUAGCUAAUUCCAGGUAGCUAGUCUUUAACAUUUGUUUAAUUAAUUAGUCUAUUUGCUAAUACAAGCCAUAUAUACCUUUUUCUUUUAACUCUUCAAUCAACAAUUGGCAUACACAUGAUUUCCCUUUUAUCCCAGAAAAAGAGAGCAAAAAUGAAAUAUAACAGCCACACAGCAAAAUGAGAAAAAGAAACCCUAGAUGUAUGGAUAUAUAGUUGAGGAACUUUAGAAAUCAACAAGCAUACAAAUUCAAUUUGAACAUUGAUCAAAUGGGUAUAUGUAUAUAAAUAUAACUUUGCUAAUAAGGCAAAACAAUUAUUUGAUCAAAAUAUCACACUAGCAAUUAGUAGCAAAAUCUUGGAAACUUGGACACUGGCUAGCUAGCUAACACAUAAUGACCAGUCUUUGUUUUCUCAUAAUCACACAUAAAGAACUUCUUAUUAUGAAGUUACCCUGCGAAUUAUGAACUAUUGGGCACUUUGUUCCAUUUUCUUUUGAUGUAAAGCUUGUUCUGGACAAGGCUUCUAGUACUAUAGGCAAUCUAGCAGGGCUCUGAUACCAUAACCACAGGUCAUAGGAAAUAUCCAUAAGACAAGCUUGUUACAAGAUGGAUGGGCAUCAUAGGCAACUCCUAUGAGAUGUCAGGUGUUAUUAUAAUUCAUAAUUAUUUGAGUUGAAAAUUUAUUUCUCAUCAGAUCCCUCGUUACAAGAGUAGUCAAAAUUAAAACCAGUCUCUCAGAAAAAGAAGAAGAAAAAAACACAUGAGAUCAGUGGUUGUGGAAAUUAUACCCAAAAGCAAACACUGUAUAUACAUAGGUAAGCAUCACAUCAUGAAAAACCCUAAAAACCAAGGGAAUGAUAUUCCAAAGAAGAAGAGAUAAGGUACCUUUAGAGGUUUAUAGACCAGAGAACCUGAAUCUUUUCGAAAUUACAAUGCUGUCCUAGUAGCUAUGUCUAUUAAUUAUAACUAAUUAAUAGGUAGGCUUCAAUAAUAUUCCAUACCUUGCAAGAAGAAGAAAAAAAAUUCCUGCAAAUACACCAUGGAUGACAUAUAUGAGAAUAUGCAUGGCUCCUCAUACGCCAUCCACGGAGGCCAUCGAUUCUCCGGUGGGCUCUGCAAAUGGCAUACAGGGAGCCAGGCACAUACAAUAAAUAUGUAUGCUUGAUGUUAAAGCAUGCGUAUGCAAAAAUAAACAUACAAGUAUACCUGUAGUAUAUGUAUGUGAUGCUUAUAUAUGCAGGGGAGUGAUAUAUUUUAUGUGAUGAUGUGCGUAUGUAUUAGAGUAUGGGCAUGAAAUUGAGGUGCAUAUUAAGUAAAGAAUUUUCAAGCUAGCUUCCACGGAGAUAGUCUUGUCCAUGUUAGAAGCUAAGUAACUACAAGAGAGGGUGUGUAGAAGGAGUAUGGAUUAGGGAGAGAGGAAGACGGAGGGAUUGAAGGGAAAGAGAAAGGAGGAGAGAGUGGUAUUUAUGGAGAGGGAGAGGAGAGAGAUCUGUGGAAAAUAGGAACUGAGUCAUAAUCAAAUACCUAGAGGGGUGUUUCAAAGCCCCACAAAACCCUUUUGAAUUGGCAUAAAACAAGCAAACCAGUGGCUAAACUUGAGGAAGGGGUGGCUAAUUUUUGUGGGGUUUGUAUGUAGUAUUUUGAGAGGGAAAGAAG
rnacentral:misc_RNA from 1 species